rnacentral:rRNA from 1 species
AUACGGAGGAUCCGAGCGUUAUCCGGAUUUAUUGGGUUUAAAGGGUGCGCAGGCGGCCAUUUAAGUCAGCGGUUAAAUCGUGGGGCUCAACCCCAUUCUGCCGUUGAUACUGGGUGGCUUGAUUGCGGUCGAGGUUGGCGGAAUUCGUUGUGUAGCGGUGAAAUGCAUAGAUAUGACGAAGAACACCGACUGCGUAGGCAGCUGACCAGACCGCAAAUGACGCUCAUGCACGAAAGUGCGGGGAUCGAACAGGAUUAGAUACCCUGGUAGUCCGCACAGUAAACGAUGAAUACUUGUUUUCGGCGAUAUAAUGUCGGAGGCAAAGCGAAAGCGAUAAGUAUUCCACCUGGGGAGUACGCCGGCAACGGUGAAACUCAAAUGAAUUGACGGGG